AAGAGCCUGAAAUGUUUGUCAGCUUGAUAACCUUAACCUACAGAUAGUAUACGGGAGUUUAUGUAUGCAUAUGGAAAUCGUGCCGAGCAAGGUGGAUAGAAUUAUGUGUCAGGACACCCACCUGCGUGAGUGCAGGUGUAAGGUUACAGCAGACGGCAUUUUGGGUUGUUU
rnacentral:other from 1 species